rnacentral:rRNA from 1 species
GAGGGCGCAGCUUACACAUGCAGUCGAACGAUGACUCUCUAGCUUGCUAGAGAAGAUUAGUGGCGGACGGGUGAGUAACAUUUAGGAAUCUACCUAGUAGUGGGGGAUAGCUCGGGGAAACUCGAAUUAAUACCGCAUACGACCUACGGGUGAAAGGGGGCGCAAGCUCUUGCUAUUAGAUGAGCCUAAAUCAGAUUAGCUAGUUGGUGGGGUAAAGGCCUACCAAGGCGACGAUCUGUAACUGGUCUGAGAGGAUGAUCAGUCACACCGGAACUGAGACACGGUCCGGACUCCUACGGGAGGCAGCAGUGGGGAAUAUUGGACAAUGGGGGCAACCCUGAUCCAGCCAUGCCGCGUGUGUGAAGAAGGCCUUUUGGUUGUAAAGCACUUUAAGCAGGGAGGAGAGGCUAAUGGUUAAUACCCAUUAGAUUAGACGUUACCUGCAGAAUAAGCACCGGCUAACUCUGUGCCAGCAGCCGCGGUAAUACAGAGGGUGCGAGCGUUAAUCGGAAUUACUGGGCGUAAAGCGAGUGUAGGUGGCUCAUUAAGUCACAUGUGAAAUCCCCGGGCUUAACCUGGGAACUGCAUGUGAUACUGGUGGUGCUAGAAUAUGUGAGAGGGAAGUAGAAUUCCAGGUGUAGCGGUGAAAUGCGUAGAGAUCUGGAGGAAUACCGAUGGCGAAGGCAGCUUCCUGGCAUAAUAUUGACACUGAGAUUCGAAAGCGUGGGUAGCAAACAGGAUUAGAUACCCUGGUAGUCCACGCCGUAAACGAUGUCUACUAGCCGUUGGGGUCCUUGAGACUUUAGUGGCGCAGUUAACGCGAUAAGUAGACCGCCUGGGGAGUACGGCCGCAAGGUUAAAACUCAAAUGAAUUGACGGGGGCCCGCACAAGCGGUGGAGCAUGUGGUUUAAUUCGAUGCAACGCGAAGAACCUUACCUGGUCUUGACAUAGUGAGAAUCUCUCAGAGAUGCGGGAGUGCCUUCGGGAACUCACAUACAGGUGCUGCAUGGCUGUCGUCAGCUCGUGUCGUGAGAUGUUGGGUUAAGUCCCGCAACGAGCGCAACCCUUUUCCUUAUUUGCCAGCGGGUUAAGCCGGGAACUUUAAGGAUACUGCCAGUGACAAACUGGAAGGAAGGCCGGGGACGACGUCAAGUCAUCAUGGCCCUUACGACCAG